UCCCAGACUCCUACGGGAGGCAGCAGUGGGGAAUAUUGCACAAUGGGGGAAACCCUGAUGCAGCGACGCCGCGUGAGUGAAGAAGUAAUUCGUUACGUAAAGCUCUAUCAGCAGGGAAGAAACACUGACCUUACGGUCAGCAGACGGUACCUGAGUAAGAAGCCCCGGCUAACUACGUGCCAGCAGCCGCGGUAAUACGUAGGGGGCAAGCGUUAUCCGGAUUUACUGGGGGUAAAGGGAGCGUAGACGGCAGCGCAAGUCUGAAGUGAAAUGCCGGGGCUUAACCCCGGAACUGCUUUGGAAACUGUGCAGCUAGAGUGCAGGAGAGGUAAGUGGAAUUCCUAGUGU
rnacentral:rRNA from 1 species